GUGAGUGUAGCUCAGCUUGGUUAGAGCAUCAGAUUGUGGCUCUGAGGGUCAAGGGUUCGAAUCCCUUCACUCACC
rnacentral:tRNA from 1 species